GGUUAAGCGACUAAGCGUACACGGUGGAUGCCCUGGCAGUCAGAGGCGAUGAAGGACGUGCUAAUCUGCGAUAAGCGCCGGUAAGGUGAUAUGAACCGUUAUAACCGGCGAUUUCCGAAUGGGGAAACCCAGUGUGAUUCGUCACACUAUCAUUAACUGAAUCCAUAGGUUAAUGAGGCGAACCGGGGGAACUGAAACAUCUAAGUACCCCGAGGAAAAGAAAUCAACCGAGAUUCCCCCAGUAGCGGCGAGCGAACGGGGAGGAGCCCAGAGCCUGAAUCAGCAUGUGUGUUAGUGGAAGCGUCUGGAAAGGCGCGCGAUACAGGGUGACAGCCCCGUACACAAAAGCGCAUGUGCUGUGAGCUCGAUGAGUAGGGCGGGACACGUGGUAUCCUGUCUGAAUAUGGGGGGACCAUCCUCCAAGGCUAAAUACUCCUGACUGACCGAUAGUGAACCAGUACCGUGAGGGAAAGGCGAAAAGAACCCCGGCGAGGGGAGUGAAAAAGAACCUGAAACCGUGUACGUACAAGCAGUG
rnacentral:rRNA from 1 species